UACGGAGGGGGCGAGCGUUGUUCGGAAUUAUUGGGCGUAAAGGGCGCGUAGGCGGCCUGAUCAAGUCGGAUGUGAAAUCCCUCGGCUCAACCGAGGAACUGCACCCGAUACUGGUUGGCUAGAGUCCGGGAGGGGGUAGCGGAAUUCCCAGUGUAGCGGUGAAAUGCGUAGAUAUUGGGAAGAACACCGGUGGCGAAGGCGGCUACCUGGACCGGUACUGACGCUGAGGCGCGAAAGCCAGGGGAGCGAAUGGG
rnacentral:rRNA from 1 species